AACGAAAUCAAAAUAAUGUGCGGGUUGUUUUGUCAACUGUAUCUCUAAAAACCAAAGGAUAAAAACCUAUACUUACCCUACGGUCCUUACCUGUUAGCACAUUUUGGAAGCAGUUUGAAAUUCAAAAUUCAAAUUCCACCCUCUCCUCUCCUCUCAAGUCUCAAUUUUAAAUUUAAACCAAGAGCUCAAUUUCUAUUUGCAAAAGUGGGAAAUCCGAAAACCAAGAGUUGUGGAAAUUGAAAAGAGAAUAAAGGCUGUUGUUGAAGCUGAAACACAACUUCAUUGGAGGGAACCUGAAGAGAACUCAGAUGAAGCGAAACUUUCGAAGAAAGCUACGCGAAGUGGUAGAUGGAUUUUCGGUUUUUGGUGAUUUCCUAUAUUAGAACUGGGAGCAAUCUACUUUAGUCCUUAAAUGGUAAAUGCAAACACCUUCCCUAUACGGUGAAGCAACUAAUCUCAAUGUAGGUUCUUUAAUCCUAAUAGCAAACCUACCCCAAAUCUGACGUAGAGGUUCCAGAAAAUUUGGCAGCCGACACUUCUCGAUGAUUCCCACAGGAUGAGUUCUGAAGCUUGCAUCAGGCGGCCUCGCAGUUUAUUGGUGAUGGUGGUGGACAUUGCACAGGUUAUGGGUAAUGAUGUUGAACCCAACAUCAAUAGCAGCAGACAAGAAACUAACCGUACCAAGGUAGCCAUUUACCGUGAGAGGAAAGGAAGACAAGGUGUUACUUAGCAUCAACAGACACGGAGAUAUUUCCAGCAUGAGAAAAGGUGUAUCUGAUUGUUUAAGGAUCUCUUAUUAGGUUCUAGAGUAAUUCAAGUUGCUUAUCUUCUUGAUUAUGGGAGCCAAAUAUUGGAAGCAUGUCGCUAAUUGAUGAAGUUCAAUUACUGCGAAUGAUGCUAUGAUCAAACAUGGAGGGGUUCCUACAACCAUUAAAUUUUCACAAACAAAUAUUGCAGAUUGAGGUAUGAAAAUACUUAAGCUUUGGUCUCUACAAAACUAAAACAUAAACCUAAGUGUGAUUUAGAAAACCUAAAAAGACCUCCACUCUGUGUUAUGGGACUUUAAAAAUGCAGAGUUAGUAACGCGUUCAUAUCUAAGCAUGAGUAUGAGUUAGCUGUUGUAAGAGGCCAGCCUAUCAUCUGCUUCCAUUUAUUUAUUUGGUUAUUCUUUUUGUUCUUUGUUAGCUUGAUCUUGGUAUCACUUAGUUUGUUCUAAUCUGCAACCACGUGCAAUAAAAAAUGGUGCAAACAGCCAAAAGAAGUAAUAAAUACGUUUUCCAUUGAAAUAUUUGUCUAUCCAACUUGGUUGUUACCUAUAUAUUUGGCAGCCACAAUUUUAUUGAUGAAACAAAACAUCUCUGAAUUGGGAUACUAUAUGUGUCCUGCUGAGAAUAAUGAUCUCAAGGAUGAUGGUUGUGAAAAGCGAGAAGGACUUGAAGGAUCUGGAUUCCGGAGGGCCCUCAAAGAUAGUUCCAUCUCGGAGAUCUUCAAUGAGAAGGAAAGCAGCUGAAGUUCAAAGAGACCAGGUUGCCUAAUUGGUUUUUUGUACACUGUAUUGGCUCGAUUCCUCCUCCUCUUUCUGUUGGGCAGUGAAUGGUUAAGUGGAAGACAGACAACAAGUCCUUCUCGCUGAAGUCAUUCUAUAUCUGGUUGGUGCAAGAAAGGUUGCUCACUGAGUUCAAGUGCUCGUAUUCUAGCCAAAUUUGGCCUGUCCGUUCUUCUUCUUCUUUUCUUUUGUAACCGUGUACAUACUUUCUUUGUUCCUAUGUUUCUAAAAAUUAAAUAAAAGUAUGAAUUGUUA